rnacentral:rRNA from 1 species
AUACGUAGGGGGCGAGCGUUGUUCGGAAUGAUUGGGCGUAAAGGGCGCGUAGGCGGCGCGGUAAGUCUGGAGUGAAAGUCCUGCGUUCAAGGUGGGAAUUGCUUUGGAUACUGCCGCGCUUGAGUGCAGGAGAGGUUAUCGGAAUUCCCGGUGUAGCGGUGAAAUGCGUAGAGAUCGGGAGGAACACCAGUGGCGAAGGCGGGUAACUGGACUGCAACGGACGCUGAGGCGCGAAAGUGUGGGGAGCAAACAGGAUUAGAUACCCUGGUAGUCCACACUGUAAACGAUGAAUGCUAGGUGUAAGAGGUAUCGACCCCUUUUGUGCCGGAGUCAACACAAUAAGCAUUCCGCCUGGGGAGUACGGCCGCAAGGUUGAAACUCAAAUGAAUUGACG